GAGCGGACGGGGCCGCGUGCGCUGCGGGCGUGCAGCGUGCAGGGCCGGGGUAUUUUUAUCCCAUGCUUGAUGGAUCGGUGCACGGCUUCGCUGCUGCCAGAUGAUUUUCCACCGGUUCCAUCACAUAGCAAUUUAAGGGCGCGGAGCAAUCACACUCCAGAGAUGCGGGGAAGGAAGAGACAUCGGGCAACAGGAUGAAACUGAAUUGGAGAAGAGAUCCAAAUGCCAAGGAGGAGAGCGGACACACGUGUGUGGGUCCUGCUGAGCCCACGGGCAGGCGGGGGCUGGAAGAACACAGCUGCGCCAUUUGGGAGAAAAUGAUCCGAAUCGGGCUGCGAGCCUCCGGGAGGGAGAGCCCCGUGGGGCUGAGAGAGGCACGGCGCGGGGUCUGCCACAUCCGACAUUUUUGGAGUAGAAUGUGGCUGGAAAAUCCUUCUGCUGUUUGCCCAGACCAAAUUCCAGCCUCUGCCCCAUGGCAGAGGUGCAGGACAUGGGUGAGCACCACCGUGGCAUCCCCUCACCCUCACAGGUUCCACAUCCUCAUUUCCCAGGCACGGAUAAGAUGUUUGCGCCACGGACGGCAUGUUCUAUCAGCAUGAAACCCCUCUCGUUGUUGGAGUGUGGAAAAUGGAAGAAUGCUUUGUAAUCUGGUUACACGUGGCCUGCACAUCUCAGGUCUCAUACAUUUUUGUAGCUGCUGAUAGAAACGGGUCGAAUCCUUGCCUGGAUCAGAAGGAUAGGAGGCCUUGGAUGUUUGCACCCCCUCCUUUCUCCAGGAGUGAUGUGUCUGUAGGGCUGAGGACAAGGAUAGGUGCCCCCUGAAUGCUGGUGUAGCCCAAGGGGGCUGCAGGAGAGCUGUCCCCAUCAGUGUCACACGUUCUGGCCUCCCAGGGCAUUUGGUGGGUGACCUGGGAGGGGACAGGAGGGAUGUGACUGUUCUGCAAUGCUGCAGGUGGAAACUUAGCCCAGGAGAAGUGACCAGGCACGUGGUCACACCGAGUGCCCCCACUAAGCCGUGUCCCCAAGCACCACGUCCACACGUCCCUUACACACCUCUGGGGUGGGGAUGCCACCAGUGCCCCGGGCAGCCCGUCCCAGCACUCGGCCACCCUCUGUGGGACCAAAUUCUGCCUGAGGCCACUCUGGGCCUCCCCUGGUGCAGGCUGGGGGGUUCCUGGAGAGCAGCCGGCUUGGAUGAAGCCGUCCCCAUCACCAGCCCCCUGCCCAUGUUGCUGCCCCAGCGCUUUGGGGCUGAUGCAGGGCGUUGCCUCUUGCCUUGCACUCACCUAAGUUGGGCUGGAAAAAUCCUCAUGGAAAACUGUUAGUGGCUGUUAUAGCUGUCUUUCAAGCUGCCCUAUUUCUUUAAUCCUGCAGAGUGGAUCCAAGCCAAGCUCCCAUUGACAUCUACACCUGGAGAGGAGCUGGUUUGGUGCUUCAGUGCCAAGAGCCCGUUUCCACCUCACCCCAGGCAUGUCCCUGCCCCAUCAUUCUUCACCAGCACCACCAGAGCCUUCAUGAUCUUGAUGUUUUUUCCAACCUAGAUGUUUCUCAGUGCCCUGCUGAGCAUUUCCCACAGGGAGGGAUGCUCCAUCCUCCAGCCUGUUGCGAUCAGAGCCCGUCCAUGGCAGUGCUGCAGCGUGCCCAAGGCAGGAGGCUUCUGUCUGCCUUCCCCUGGCUCCUGGCUCCUCCAGGAAGGGGAUGGAGGAGGCCAAGAGCUGGGCAUCUCUUCUGUGGUCCCAUCCCCAUCCCCUGGGGACCCUGCCCCAGCCGAGGUGCACAGGGCUAUGCCCAGCCUCAGGAACGUGCCCGGUGGCCUUUGCUGGGCAGUUUCAUGGUGCUGCGUGUGCUCAAGGCUGGGCAUGGUUGCAGGAGUGUGUCCUUGGCAAAACCUCAGAAAAACACUGGGUUUUGAGCUCACCCAUCCUCUGGAGAAGCUCUGGGUCAAUUUGAGAGUGGCUCCGGGGCGUUGCUCCCUUGCAGGGCAAAUAAAGGGUGUGGGUCCCCGCGGGGACAGCGGCUCCGUGCCCUCCCAGGGACACCUUGUCUGGGACCUGGCGCUCACCCAGCAGCUCUCCUGCAGGGCUGCUGCCACCUGUGGCGGUUUGAUCUGCCAAACAGCUCAGGAAUUGCAGGCUUAAUCUGCUGUAAUCUCCUCGGCACGAUUUGUCCCUUCAAAAUAAUGCCGUGUUUUGAUGGGCUCGUGACAAGGGCGUUUAAUCCCACAAGGAGAGCCUUCCGCUCUCUUGACCGGUGUCCCUUCCAUGUCAACAUCUUCAAGGCACCGAGCAAGGCCUCCAGCACCGCUGCUGCACUGCUGGACGGGUGCCCUCAGGACUAGGGUUCAGGUUAGGGUUAGUUAGGGCUAGUGCUAGGGUGCAGAUGGCAUCCCUUCUCCCUGCCUGCACACACACCAGCAGCCGGAGUUGUUGCUGAUGAACUUCAAGGAUCCUCUCCCCGCAGAGCUAAUGUUUGCG